rnacentral:rRNA from 1 species
GAUGAACGCUGGCGGCGUGCCUAAUACAUGCAAGUCGAGCGAACGGACGAGAAGCUUGCUUCUCUGAUGUUAGCGGCGGACGGGUGAGUAACACGUGGAUAACCUACCUAUAAGACUGGGAUAACUUCGGGAAACCGGAGCUAAUACCGGAUAAUAUUUUGAACCGCAUGGUUCAAAAGUGAAAGACGGUCUUGCUGUCACUUAUAGAUGGAUCCGCGCUGCAUUAGCUAGUUGGUAAGGUAACGGCUUACCAAGGCAACGAUGCAUAGCCGACCUGAGAGGGUGAUCGGCCACACUGGAACUGAGACACGGUCCAGACUCCUACGGGAGGCAGCAGUAGGGAAUCUUCCGCAAUGGGCGAAAGCCUGACGGAGCAACGCCGCGUGAGUGAUGAAGGUCUUCGGAUCGUAAAACUCUGUUAUUAGGGAAGAACAUAUGUGUAAGUAACUGUGCACAUCUUGACGGUACCUAAUCAGAAAGCCACGGCUAACUACGUGCCAGCAGCCGCGGUAAUACGUAGGUGGCAAGCGUUAUCCGGAAUUAUUGGGCGUAAAGCGCGCGUAGGCGGUUUUUUAGUCCGAUGUGAAAGCCCACGGCUCACCCCGUGGAGGGUCAUUGGAAACUGGAAAACUUGAGUGCAGAAGAGGAAAGUGGAAUUCCAUGUGUAGCGGUGAAAUGCGCAGAGAUAUGGAGGAACACCAGUGGCGAAGGCGACUUUCCUGGUCUGUAACUGACGCUGAUGUGCGAAAGCGUGGGGAUCAAACAGGAUUAGAUACCCUGGUAGUCCACGCCCGUAAACGAUGAGUGCUAAGUGUUAGGGGGUUUCCGCCCCUUAGUGCUGCAGCUAACGCAUUAAGCACUCCGCCUGGGGAGUACGACCGCAAGGUUGAAACUCAAAGGAAUUGACGGGGACCCGCACAAGCGGUGGAGCAUGUGGUUUAAUUCGAAGCAACGCGAAGAACCUUACCAAAUCUUGACAUCCUUUGACAACUCUAGAGAUAGAGCCUUCCCCUUCGGGGGACAAAGUGACAGGUGGUGCAUGGUUGUCGUCAGCUCGUGUCGUGAGAUGUUGGGUUAAGUCCCGCAACGAGCGCAACCCUUAAGCUUAGUUGCCAUCAUUAAGUUGGGCACUCUAAGUUGACUGCCGGUGACAAACCGGAGGAAGGUGGGGAUGACGUCAAAUCAUCAUGCCCCUUAUGAUUUGGGCUACACACGUGCUACAAUGGACAAUACAAAGGGCAGCGAAACCGCGAGGUCAAGCAAAUCCCAUAAAGUUGUUCUCAGUUCGGAUUGUAGUCUGCAACUCGACUACAUGAAGCUGGAAUCGCUAGUAAUCGUAGAUCAGCAUGCUACGGUGAAUACGUUCCCGGGUCU